rnacentral:misc_RNA from 1 species
GUGAAUCAUCAAAUUUUUGAACGCAAAUUGCACUCCCUGGUAUUCCGGGGAGUAUGCCUGUUUGAGGGUCGGUAGAAUAAAAAAUCUAUGCGUCGCUCUUUUUUUAAGGGUGAUCGCGUCGUGAUUGAGCCGUCUUUCAAAGGUUAAUUCAUGUCAAAGUGGCUUUAAAUGCAUCCAUUCGGUAGGAUUUAAGCUU